AUCCAUCUGACGAGUCCCAAAUAGGACGAAGAAUUUGUCCUGGAU
rfam:Schistosoma curassoni strain Dakar, Senegal genome assembly, scaffold: SCTD_scaffold0000587